rnacentral:rRNA from 1 species
UACAGAGGGUGCGAGCGUUGUCCGGAAUCACUGGGCGUAAAGGGCGCGUAGGCGGUUCGGUUAGCGUGCGGUGAAAGCCCGGGGCUCAACCCCGGGUCGGCCGUGCGAACUGCUGGACUGGAGCUUGUCAGAGGCAGGCGGAAUUCCGGGUGUAGCGGUGGAAUGCGUAGAGAUCCGGAAGAACACCGGUGGCGAAGGCGGCCUGCUGGGACAAUGCUGACGCUGAGGCGCGACAGCGUGGGGAG